CCUGGUUUUGACGGUAAGGUAAACUGGAAUGUAAGCAUGUCGAGCUUUGGAUUUUGGCUCGUUAAUCUCAAGGUUCAAAAUUAUAAACGGCGAAAAUAAUUACGCGCUUGCUGCUUAAUCUCACUCAGUGAAUUAAUCUUAAUUCCGACGCUAGGUCGUCGGAACAAGCUGUCUCUCAAAUGGCGUUGUUUAGCCGCAAUUUGAUUAUGAGGCAUCGUAAAAGUUAAACUAGUUUAGUCAUUGUUUCGUUGACUAAGCGAAAUUUAAGAAACUAAGGAUUGGUUCGGCUGCUUUUUGCCAGGCUAUUCACGAAAACCAAUAAAAAGAUAAGCAUGUAGAAAUCAUUUGGGUUCUUUAUUCGGACGCGGGUUCGACUCCCGCC
rnacentral:tmRNA from 1 species